ACUCCUGCGGGAGGCAGCAGUGGGGAAUAUUGGACAAUGGGCGCAAGCCUGAUCCAGCCAUGCCGCGUGAGUGAUGAAGGCCCUAGGGUUGUAAAGCUCUUUCACCGGUGAAGAUAAUGACGGUAACCGGAGAAGAAGCCCCGGCUAACUUCGUGCCAGCAGCCGCGGUAAUACGAAGGGGGCUAGCGUUGUUCGGAUUUACUGGGCGUAAAGCGCACGUAGGCGGACUAUUAAGUCAGGGGUGAAAUCCCGGGGCUCAACCCCGGAACUGCCUUUGAUACUGGUAGUCUUGAGUUCGAGAGAGGUGAGUGGAAUUCCGAGUGUAGAGGUGAAAUUCGUAGAUAUUCGGAGGAACACCAGUGGCGAAGGCGGCUCACUGGCUCGAUACUGACGCUGAGGUGCGAAAGCGUGGGGAGCAAACAGGAUUAGAAACCCGGGUAGUCCCA
rnacentral:rRNA from 1 species